GUCCAGACUCCUACGGGAGGCAGCAGUGGGGAAUAUUGCACAAUGGGGGAAACCCUGAUGCAGCAACGCCGCGUGAGUGAAGAAGUCAUUCGUGAUGUAAAGCUCUAUCAGCAGGGAAGAAAAUGACGGUACCUGAGUAAGAAGCCCCGGCUAACUACGUGCCAGCAGCCGCGGUAAUACGUAGGGGGCAAGCGUUAUCCGGAUUUACUGGGUGUAAAGGGAGCGUAGACGGCAUGGCAAGUCAGAUGUGAAAGCCCGGGGCUCAACCCCGGGACUGCAUUUGAAACUGUCAGGCUGGAGUGCAGGAGAGGUAAGUGGAAUUCCUAGUGUAGCGGUGAAAUGCGUAGAUAUUAGGAGGAACACCAGUGGCGAAGGCGGCCUGCUGGACGGUGUACUGACGCUGAGGCUCGAAAGCGUGGGGAGCAAACAGGAUUAGAUACCCUAGUAUAC
rnacentral:rRNA from 1 species